rnacentral:rRNA from 1 species
GUCCCGCAACGAGCGCAACCCUUGCCAAUAAUUGCCAUCAUUUAGUUGGGCACUUUAUUGGGACUGCCGGUGACAAACCGGAGGAAGGUGGGGAUGACGUCAAGUCCUCAUGGCCCUUAUGGCCAGGGCUUCACACGUAAUACAAUGGUCGGUACAGAGGGUUGCCAAGCCGCGAGGUGGAGCCAAUCCCAGAAAGCCGAUCGUAGUCCGGAUUGUUCUCUGCAACUCGAGAGCAUGAAGUCGGAAUCGCUAGUAAUCGCGGAUCAGAAUGUCGCGGUGAAUACGUUCCCGGGCCUUGUACACACCG